UCCUCGGCCGGAGCAGCCUCCUCCUCGUCCUCCCCAACGCCUCCGGCGUCAUGCUCGGCCCUAACGGCGCGGUUUUUGUCUCCUCCGGGAUCCCCGACCUCGGCAGUAAGCAUGCCCAUAUUCCUUCUCGCUCUCUUCAGUCAUGAUGCAAGAUUUUGCAAUCGGGCGGAAGUUGUGAUAGAGCUUAGGUGCAAUGAUCAUAUGGAGUAAGACCAUUUUCUCUAGUUUGAACUUUGAAUCUUGCGACUUGGGUGUGAACUGUGAAUUAGAUUCCUUAACAAGUGCUACAGAUUUACUUUUGCGCAAUAACAAGUACUACUACAGAUUACCUGCGUACAGAUGAUUAUGUAUGCCAUGAGAGAUUAUUCUUGGGGCCAGGAGAGUACAAGGACUUUUUUUAGCUGAAAGAAAAAUGUGCUGUCCUAUUGGGUUGUCGAUUUGUCGUGAUUUGUCAGGUUUUGUUGCAGUGAUUCUGGGUGGCGGUUUCGUCAUCCGUUUGGUUGUGAACUUGUGAUGGUCAUGGAGGAGUCCGACGUGCCUCACCACCUCCUCCUUCUCCGGGCUUUUAUUUCGCAGGGUGUUGUGCACAAGCAGCCCCUGCUCUUCGCAAGGCCUAUGAAGGAGCCCUGCUCAUUCCUCGGCGCGCUGCCUGCUCCAAUCAGUUCCUUGAAGGAGGAAUCAUGUCAACGAGCGAUAGAGGAGCAAGUGUUAGUGAUGAGGGUUUGAGGAUCGCUUGGCAGUACAGGAAAUAUUUUGGGGACGAGAGGACCUCUGGUGCUAAACACAGAGGUGGUACACUGAUAUAUCUCUUUCCUUUGUUUGUGUCGGUUUUCACUGGAUAAUCUGCUACUUUUCAAACAAAGCAAAUAUUAUAUUGCCUGUGUAAUUGCUUCCUGAUGCUAAUGGGUUGACAGCUAUCUUUUUAUUGCCUAUUAUAGUUUGCUUGCAUAAGCAUCAUUUCUGGAACUGAUAUAAGUUAUGCUAUCAUUAUUGUAUCACAAGAUGUUUGCGAAAAGAGCUGACCCAGUUAGUAUUGUUGCAGACAGCAAGCAGGAGUUCAGUAAUGAUUUUGAUUUACGGAAGCGCUUGGAACAACAUUUACUUAAUGCACAGCAUACUGCUCAAGAUGUAGACACUCUCAGUGAUCUCUAGAAUCGUUGUUCCACUUUUUUAUACAAGCAUCCAAGAAAAGAUGGUGGAACUCUGAAUGCUGGACGAAUUGCUAUAUAGUCUCUGUGUGCACCACAGUGUGGAUAUUUUGUAAAGG